rnacentral:rRNA from 1 species
AUUGAACGCUGGCGGCAUGCUUUACACAUGCAAGUCGAACGGUAACAGGCCUUCGGGUGCUGACGAGUGGCGAACGGGUGAGUAAUGCAUCGGAACGUACCCAGAGGUGGGGGAUAACGCAGCGAAAGCUGUGCUAAUACCGCAUGUGAUCUGAGGAUGAAAGCGGGGGACCGCGCAGCAAUGUUUGGCCUCGCGCCUUUGGAGCGGCCGAUGUCGGAUUAGCUAGUUGGUGGGGUAAAGGCCUACCAAGGCGACGAUCCGUAGCUGGUCUGAGAGGACGACCAGCCACACUGGGACUGAGAAACGGCCCAGACUCCUAAGGGAGGGAGCAGGGGGGAAUUUUGGACAAUGGGCGCAAGCCUGAUCCAGCAAUGCCGCGUGCGGGAAGAAGGCCUUCGGGUUGUAAACCGCUUUUGGCAGGAACGAAACGGUGUCCGCUAAUACCGGGCGCUAAUGACGGUACCUGCAGAAUAAGCACCGGCUAACUACGUG